rnacentral:rRNA from 1 species
UCAUGGUUAAGUGGGAAACGAUGUGGGAAGGCCCAGACAGCCAGGAUGUUGGCUUAGAAGCAGCCAUCAUUUAAAGAAAGCGUAAUAGCUCACUGGUCGAGUCGGCCUGCGCGGAAGAUGUAACGGGGCUAAACCAUGCACCGAAGCUGCGGCAGCGACGCUUAUGCGUUGUUGGGUAGGGGAGCGUUCUGUAAGCCUGUGAAGGUGUGCUGUGAGGCAUGCUGGAGGUAUCAGAAGUGCGAAUGCUGACAUAAGUAACGAUAAAGCGGGUGAAAAGCCCGCUCGCCGGAAGACCAAGGGUUCCUGUCCAACGUUAAUCGGGGCAGGGUGAGUCGACCCCUAAGGCGAGGCCGAAAGGCGUAGUCGAUGGGAAACAGGUUAAUAUUCCUGUACUUGGUGUUACUGCGAAGGGGGGACGGAGAAGGCUAUGUUGGCCGGGCGACGGUUGUCCCGGUUUAAGCGUGUAGGCUGGUUUUCCAGGCAAAUCCGGAAAAUCAAGGCUGAGGCGUGAUGACGAGGCACUACGGUGCUGAAGCAACAAAUGCCCUGCUUCCAGGAAAAGCCUCUAAGCAUCAGGUAACAUCAAAUCGUACCCCAAACCGACACAGGUGGUCAGGUAGAGAAUACCAAGGCGCUUGAGAGAACUCGGGUGAAGGAACUAGGCAAAAUGGUGCCGUAACUUCGGGAGAAGG